rnacentral:rRNA from 1 species
GGCCUGCCCACUGAUAGUUUUAAAGGGCCGCGGUAAUUUGACCGUGCAAAGGUAGCAUAAUCGUUAGUUUUUUAAUUGGAAUCUUGUAUGAAUGGUUGAACAAAAGAAUAGCUGUCUCUGUAUUUUGUUUGAAUUUAACUUUUAAGUGAAAAGGCUUAAAUAUUUUAAAAAGACGAUAAGACCCUAUAAAGCUUAAUAAAUUUUAUUACUUAGCUGGAUUAAUAUAAAUAUAAGGGCUAAGUCAGAGAAAUUUAUUUUAUUGGGGCGAUAAUGAUAAAAUGUUCUUAACUGUUAAUAAGUGUAUACAAAUAUUGAUGUAUAAAAUGUUUAAAUGAUCCUUUAUAAAGAUUAAAAGUUUAAGUUACUUUAGGGAUAACAGCGUUAUUUUUCUUGAGAGUUCAUAUCGAAAGAAAAGUUUGCGACCUCGAUGUUGAAUUAAAAUUUCUAUAUAGUUGCAGAAGU